rnacentral:lncRNA from 1 species
CUGACAUCCUACUCAGAGCAUAUAUUGUUUUUUAAAAGUGCUGAAUAAAUGAAUCAUUAAUGUGUGAAAGAAGAGAGAGUAACAGAGUUAUAUUUCUAGGUAAUGAAAGUGCCCGCAACGAAAAUAUGUUGUAUAACAUACCCUUCCGCAAUAAGCUUCCUACUCGACUCCAAGUUGAAAAGGAAUUUGGUUUCUGAUGCAGGAAAGAUUACUAAAGAAGACUGUGAGGCUGAGUGGAGUAGAGCACGCCUGACACCAGCGCUUAAGACAGAGUCUUAUCUACUAGAUGCGGUGGUCCCCAGAGAAGACUCAAGACAGCCUUCUGACCCAUCCUAUUCACCUUGGAAUUAGACGCUACGGUUUUCUUAAGACUAAGGGCCAUUACAGGUUUUAUGAAGAAACAAUACACAGCUGGGAAUAAGCUCUUCUUGAAAUGAUGCUAGUUACCUGGCGGGCGCUGAGCACCAUAGUUUGAUGUCCCCCAAGGAAAGGGCAUGACAUUAUCAAUGUUACCAGAAAAGUAGGCACUAAUCAUUUGGUGCAUUUUUACAUCUUUGUUUUCCACAGAGAGGGGAAGCAUUAGAUUGGGCAGUGUGCUCAGCCUCCUUUAUUAGAAAUACACUGAACUUUUACCUUUAAAAUAUCUGUACUCUUCUUUAGCCAGCAAUCCCAUCUUCAUGAUAGCUCUCACCCUUCCUAAAACAUCUCUGUAGUUAUUUGGAGGAACCCUCAUGAUAAUAUAUCACAUGUGCUUCUGCUGUGUCUUUUGCUAGUUGCUUUGUGAAGACACUGCCCCUCCUAAGAUGACUGCCACCCACAGGUGACCCACUUGAUUCUCAGCCAAAAUUUCAUGGGAAUAAAAGAAGAUGCCCUUUACCCAAUUUGGUGUGGCAUUUGGUCACCCGGACCCAGAAGAUUCUCUACUUUUAUUUAAAGUUUUCCCACGGUUUGUAUAAACAUAGUAACUUCACCUGCUAUGAAAAACCAAGCCCCUAGGGAGGCAGAGGCCAUCCCCUUCCUUCCAUUGUCCUUACCUAAGAGGAUCUCCUGUUACAGUUUUUUCCUCUCAAAAUUUGUAUCUUCUAAUUCCUUGUUUUAAGAUUAUUUGUUUGUUACUGGCAUUCCUUCUAGUACUGAUAGCCGACGGGUAACAUAGAAGACAAAGCCCAAUCUUGCUUUUUUAUGAACUUGAGCAUUGUUUUAAUCCCUGAGAAGUUGAUCAUUUUAGUUUGGUGCCAUAGACUUUACCUUCCUGCAGCAAACAUUUGUCACAUUUGGUGGUCCACUAUCUGGCUCUUCCCUCUUCCUAUUGGCACUGCCAUCAUUCUUUUGAGAAAAUUCCCAGUUGACUAAAGUUUUAACGAGAAAGAAAUUCCAACUUUCUCCGGUGGCAGAUUCUUCUUCAGUUCAGUCUUGGCACAGUCAGCUUCCUAAAUUCAAGCAGACAUUCAUUCCUGAGAUGCUGAUUCAGUGGUUGAAGUCAGACUAAUCUUGGGGUGGGGGCAGACUAGAGGUCAGACUCUUCCUGUAGCAUGACCUUGGCUGCAGUUUUGCCUGCUUCUCCCCCAGAGGACCCCUAAUUCCCAUUCAUUUUCCUAGCUCAGUCCUCCAGUCUCCCAUUUAUUACGUCACUUCCCAGUAUCUUCCCAGUAAAUUCCCAUCUGCUCUAGAUACCCUAGAUUGGAGAAAUCAAAACCACAUAGAUUUUGGAUUGAACGUAUCCCCACAAAAGAUAUGAAGUCCUAACCCCCAGUACCUAUGAAUGUGACCUUAUUUAAAAACGGUCUUUGGAGUAAUCAAGAUAAGGUGAAGUUGUACUGGAGUAGCGUGGGCCCUUAAUCCAGUAUGAAUUGUGUCCUUAGAGAAGAGGAGAGACAGACACACACAAGGAAAGAAUACCGUGUGAAGACACAGAGACAUGAGACAAGAGUGUCUUUGGAAGUGCUACAGCCUCAAGCCAGGGACAGCCAAGGACAGCUGACAAAUCACCAAAGAUAGGAAGAGCCACGGAAGGCUUCCCCCCUCGAGGUUUCAGAGGGAGCGUGGCCCUGGCAACAUCUUGAUUUCAGACUCCUGGGCCUCAGAAUUAUGGUGUAUACUGAGGUCUGUUUAAAGCCCCCAGUUGGUGGUACUUUGUAACAGCCUAGAAAAUAUAUAAUUUCAAUUCUCACGAAUGACAAUUAUGUACCAUUGGUUAUGCUAUUCCCUCAAGAAACUCAUUAUAUAUCCAUAACACAGAAAUACUUUCCUAGAAAACUGGUCAUAUAAUGUUUUUCACCUGCCCAACCCCAAAUUUUGCAUACAAUAAACCUAUAAAUAAGAAUCCAAUUAAAACAUGCAAAUGAACAGCAAGCAUUGGGCAGAGUGGGAUUACCCUAAGAACUUAAGUAUUUUCUGUCUUACCCUCUUCUCCCCAAUACUUUUCUCAUCUUGUUAUCCACUCAUGAAUAAAAUGUCCCUCAUACCAUCAACCAGGACACUUUCUGAAUGCUCUAUAAAUAUUUACCAAAAUAAAAUAACUCCAGUCCUUGACAAACCAAGAGUUACAUACUAUACAAUAACCCAGGAGAUUUAGGAGAUCUGGAUUUUCACCAUGACAACACUAUCACCAACCCUGAAAUGUAUAUAAAUAAGGAACGCAGGUGCGACAUUUCUUCAGUUCUAUUCAUAUUCAAUGUACUGUGAAUGAUUAAGACCAGUAAAAUGGAAGUAUAUUAAAACAAAAAGGACAAAGAGAUAUUCAUAACACGAGGAUGUACAGAAGGAGCUUAAAUAGUAUGUGCAACUGUCUUAUCAGCUGACCAGACAACAAUCAUAUAAUUAAAGUGGCCAGUGAUUAGAUUUUUAAGCUUCUUUGAAGUUUUGUUAUAUUUUAUUUGACAAAGUCCAAUUUGACUGCAGAAUACUAAGUAAACAAAAAUGGGUGUUAUAGGUAUUAUGCUGGCAUUUUUAUUCGAUUACUGGGGUUUUCAUUAUACAUUAGCUCCUCAGUCAUUUCAAAAUUCCUCGAAUUUCUUUCUGAUACUGUUAUUUGAUUUAGCAACUGGAUAAAAGCAGCUGAAAGCAUUUCUUGGUCUUAAAUUAGAGUUGGCCAUGACAAAUAUUCCUACAAGAAUAUAGGAUGAAUCCCACACAUUUAUCACAGCAUCUGGGCCAUGUUUGUUUCUGUAGGACAGAGGAGAGGGUAGGAAGAAUUCUUAUGUUGGUAAACUGGAAGUCUAAGAAUUACACUUGCCAUCUGGGACUGCUUUGAUGAGAAUACUGGUCUGUUCUUCCCACUUAAUUACCAAAAUGAAUUAUCGUCAUGCAAAGACAAUGAUCUUGGUGAUCAAGACUUAAGUAAAGCCAGUAAGACUAAAUACUUGCAUUUAAAUGUAGUUGUAUUUAUUUCUGUAGCACUGAACAAGCUUCUUGAGGUCUUGAGAAAAAAAAAUUCAUGCACCCAUUUAGCCUAUACAAACAAGAAGAAGUUACAUAAACCCAACAUAAUUAAAGCAAUUUAUAUAGGGCAUAAACUUCAUGAUGUUUUACAGUCAACUUGUAAGUAAAGAAGGCAACUAACAGAAAUAACUUCUCCCAGCAAAAACACUUAUGUGGUUUGCAGAGUUCCAAAAUACCAAUCUUUAAAUAUGUACUAUUUCACCAAAGUGCCAAAAGACGAAUAGCAAACUAAAUAGAGUUAAAUAUGGCCUCAAUUUAAAGAUUUGGUAAGGAACUAAAAUGAAGACCUAGUUUAUAUGUGCUGUUAUAAAGAAUCAACUUACUUUCUCCAGCAUUAUAAUCUCAUUAACUCUAUUAGGGAAUCCAAUUUCAAACAAAAAACUUAGGUUCACCCAAAACUAUUGGACAAUUAACUCAAUGGUAAUACAUCCAGUAUUACGUCUUCUGAGUUCCAGAAAUACUCAAACUUUUCCACUGCAGAAUCUUCUCUUUUUUAUAAUAGAAAUAGUAUAUUUUUAAGGCCAGAUGGGCAACCAAGAAGCAUGCUAAAUGUCUGCCUAAGGUCAUAGGCAGAACAGGG